rnacentral:rRNA from 1 species
CUAAUACAUGCAAGUCGAGCGAUGAUUGAAGAUAGCUUGCUAUUUUCAUGAAGAGCGGCGAACGGGUGAGUAACGCGUGGGAAAUCUGCCGAGUAGCGGGGGACAACGUUUGGAAACGAACGCUAAUACCGCAUAACAAUGAGAAUCGCAUGAUUCUUAUUUGAAAGAAGCAAUUGCUUCACUACUUGAUGAUCCCGCGUUGUAUUAGCUAGUUGGUAGUGUAAAGGACUACCAAGGCGAUGAUACAUAGCCGACCUGAGAGGGUGAUCGGCCACACUGGGACUGAGACACGGCCCAGACUCCUACGGGAGGCAGCAGUAGGGAAUCUUCGGCAAUGGGGGCAACCCUGACCGAGCAACGCCGCGUGAGUGAAGAAGGUUUUCGGAUCGUAAAACUCUGUUGUUAGAGAAGAACGUUAAGUAGAGUGGAAAAUUACUUAAGUGACGGUAUCUAACCAGAAAGGGACGGCUAACUACGUGCCAGCAGCCGCGGUAAUACGUAGGUCCCAAGCGUUGUCCGGAUUUAUUGGGCGUAAAGCGAGCGCAGGUGGUUUCUUAAGUCUGAUGUAAAAGGCAGUGGCUCAACCAUUGUGUGCAUUGGAAACUGGGAGACUUGAGUGCAGGAGAGGAGAGUGGAAUUCCAUGUGUAGCGGUGAAAUGCGUAGAUAUAUGGAGGAACACCGGAGGCGAAAGCGGCUCUCUGGCCUGUAACUGACACUGAGGCUCGAAAGCGUGGGGAGCAAACAGGAUUAGAUAC